UGGCGGACGGGUGAGUAAUGUAUCGGAACGUGCCCAGUCGUGGGGGAUAACUGCUCGAAAGAGCAGCUAAUACCGCAUACGACCUGAGGGUGAAAGCGGGGGAUCGCAAGACCUCGCGCGAUUGGAGCGGCCGAUAUCAGAUUAGGUAGUUGGUGGGGUAAAGGCUCACCAAGCCAACGAUCCGUAGCUGGUCUGAGAGGAUGAUCAGCCACAUUGGGACUGAGACACGGCCCAAACUCCUACGGGAGGCAGCAGUGGGGAAUCUUGCGCAAUGGGCGAAAGCCUGACGCAGCCAUGCCGCGUGAAUGAUGAAGGUCUUAGGAUUGUAAAAUUCUUUCACCGGGGACGAUAAUGACGGUACCCGGAGAAGAAGCCCCGGCUAACUUCGUGCCAGCAGCCGCGGUAAU
rnacentral:rRNA from 1 species